rnacentral:lncRNA from 1 species
UGAGACUCGAAAGGAACACCAGGGGCCCCAGGCUGUCCGGCCCCUCCAGGCCAGGCCCCUGUCACCCUCCUGUGGUUCCCCGGGACUCCUUCCCUGGAGCCUGGCCCCCUGCAGCGCCAUCUGCAUCCACCUUUUCUACCUGCUCCUUGCACUUACCUUGAGCUCGUGGAGAGGAGAGACUAGUCCCUUCUGCUGCCGUCUUCCAGGCCUGAUGCGGCACCUGCAAGACCAUCAGAUCUUCAGACAAGGCCUUGUCUCUUCCCUCCAGGGUACAGGUUGGCCCGUGCCUAGCCACCUGGGGUUAGGUGUGGCCAUGAAGCUUGCUCUGGCCUGUGAAAUGGAACCCGAGGUGACAGGUGUCACUUCUGAGCACUUGAAGAGGAGAUGCGUGUGACAGCGACAUUCAAGAUGGCAGGCUGCUUCCAGAAUGAGGAUGACAGAGACCUGGGACAAGUUCCUGGAGUGAGAAGGUGCCUUGCACUGUCACGUG